rnacentral:lncRNA from 1 species
UGAAUAUAUAGGCCAGUAAGUCCAAAAAAUAACCAAAUACAAGGAUCUUAGUCAUUUUUCUACCUGCAACAGAAUGUGGUGACCUUGGUCUCCAUGAUCCUUGACAUCACAGCCAUGGAGACAGAAACAAUCAGCUACUCGACAAAAUGAAGGUAGUGGUCUGACGUCGAGAAAGAGAGGAGGGUCCGUAACACAUGCCUUCUUAAAUUUCAUCAAGGUUUUAUCGGUACAAUAUAACAUAGAUCAUGAAUAUAAUCCAAAUAGGCAACCAGUAGCAUGUGGGACGGAAAUAACUAUUGGCACAUGACAGCUAGAGCAGCAAAGAAGAAACAUGGCUUAUUUGCUUACCUAUUUUGAAUUACUUUCACUCAAAUCUGUAAGAACGCAACUUUUUUAACCCCUGGAGACACCCUUGUAAUCGACGACCACAUGAGUCCUGCCAUAAUGCCAUUAAUUAGAUUAUGCCAUGACCUGCUGUAACACAUAGGGGAAAUAAUAUUCAUACUUGAACAUGACUGAG